rnacentral:rRNA from 1 species
UACGUAGGGGGCAAGCGUUGUCCGGAUUUAUUGGGCGUAAAGAGCGUGUAGGCGGCCAGACAGGUCUGCUGUGAAAACUCGAGGCUCAACCUCGAGAUGUCGGCGGAAACCUUCUGGCUAGAGUCCGGAAGAGGAGAGUGGAAUUCCUGGUGUAGCGGUGAAAUGCGCAGAUAUCAGGAAGAACACCCGUGGCGAAGGCGGCUCUCUGGGACGGUACUGACGCUGAGACGCGAAAGCGUGGGGAGCGAACAGG